AUUGAACGCCGGCGGCAUGCCUUACACAUGCAAGUCGAACGCGAAAGCGGGGCAACCCGCAAGUAGAGUGGCGAACGGGUGAGUAAUACAUCGGAACGUACCCAGUAGCGGGGGAUAACCUCUCGAAAGAGAGGCUAAUACCGCAUACGACCUACGGGUGAAAGAGGGGGAUCGCAAGACCCCUCACUAUUGGAGCGGCCGAUGUCGGAUUAGCUAGUUGGUGGGGUAACGGCCUACCAAGGCGACGAUCCGUAGCUGGUCUGAGAGGACGGCCAGCCACACUGGAGCUGAGACACGGUCCAGACUCCUACGGGAGGCAGCAGUGGGGAAUUUUGGACAAUGGGCGAAAGCCUGAUCCAGCCAUGCCGCGUGAGUGAAGAAGGCC
rnacentral:rRNA from 1 species